GCCAGCGUGGCAUAGUGGUUUGAGUGUUGGACUAAAACUCUGGAGACCUGUGUUUGAUUCCCCACUCAGUCA